GUGGGGAAUAUUGGACAAUGGGCGAAAGCCUGAUCCAGCCAUGCCGCGUGUGUGAAGAAGGUCUUCGGAUUGUAAAGCACUUUAAGUUGGGAGGAAGGGCAGUAAGUUAAUACCUUGCUGUUUUGACGUUACCGACAGAAUAAGCACCGGCUAACUUCGUGCCAGCAGCCGCGGUAAUACGAAGGGUGCAAGCGUUAAUCGGAAUUACUGGGCGUAAAGCGCGCGUAGGUGGUUUUGUAAGUUGGAGGUGAAAUCCCCGGGCUCAACCUGGGAACUGCCUCCAAAACUGCAUGACUAGAGUACGGUAGAGGGUAGUGGAAUUUCCUGUGUAGCGGUGAAAUGCGUAGAUAUAGGAAGGAACACCAGUGGCGAAGGCGACUACCUGGACUGAUACUGACACUGAGGUGCGAAAGCGUGGGGAGCAAACAGGAUUAGAAACCCCUGUGUCC
rnacentral:rRNA from 1 species